UUCUCUUUUCCUUCCAUUUCUUUUGGAUUCUCCUUAAUUUUAAAUCAACAUAGAGUGGACCUAUAGAGAGGGAAGAGCGAAAACUCGAAGACAGGAUGUAUACUGUCGCUAAAGAGGAGGGAAAAAACAGAGACGGCCGCAAAAGGUGCAAAUACAAGCGCCUAGCGGGAAGAUCGCGGUUUCUGAUUUUAGUCAAUGACAAGCGACAAGUAUUCCUUUUUACGAAUCCGUCCUUGAUUUUCGUUUAUGUUUUUAUGCUUUUUAUCGUCGAUGCAUACACAAAUUUAGAUCGCUGCAAGAACUUUGAUAUUUUAGGGUUACGGGUUUCAUCCGUUUAAUAAUCAACCAGGUAAGAGUGAUCUGGAGUUAUUUUACAAGUAUAUGAAGUGUAUCUCAGUAUCCUCCACAUGAGACAUCUCCUGUAAUCUUUAUGUGUCCGUGAUUGAUUAGUAAGUAUAAAAGUUAUUAUGGUCGUUUUAGCUUAAGUUUGAUCUGCAAUCUCUAUGCAGAUAUUGGAUUUACCAUUGUUGCGUUCUUUGUUUGGAGUCCUAUCGAAUGAGUGUUUAAAGACCACUUAGCAACGGUGGUGAAGUAUUUUUUAGUUGAGAACCUCAUAGUAUGAGGAUCCAAUGUUAUUAGCAAAAGUAGCAACAGAUAAUAAUAUCUGUCUUGUGACAAAACUGUAAAACAUGUUGGAAGCCAAAUUAAUUUGGAUAUCACUUGCAGAAAACAGUGGCUCCCGAUAAACUGUAUUAUUUGAAAGCUGUUAGAAAAUACAUACAUGUAUCAGAAAGCAAAAAGAACCUACUCUUUCAUCUGUAAAUGGCUAACUGGGAAAUGAAAUAAUGAUGAUAACAAUCUUACAUCAAAUUCUCUCUGCUAAGUUACAUACGUCAUGACAGUUGAAAUGUACAACAAUUGGUUAGUCUCUGAAAUGUUUUCCCUAAGGCUAUUCGUUAACCUGGAGCUUUAUAUUUGUUUUAUGAUUCAUAGCUCAAUUAUUUGGCUUCAUUCUUUAUCUUGAUCAACUUGCUUGCUGGAAAGUGUAACCUAGCCAUCAGAGGUCUAGGAGCCCUAGUUUUCCGAUCAAAUCCCCUCACACAAACAAAUCCUGCAACCAUUCCAAAGUUAAAUUACCAGACAUUCGAUCAUUAUGAGCUAUGUUUGGGAAUUGAAGUGAUACAUACCUUUCCAAAAGCAGUAUUGAAUCCCCUGAGUAGAUAGCCCUAGAAUAUAAAGGUUUUUUUCUUGUUAACUUUUAGUUAAAAACACAUGUCAACUUUAGAAGAGAUGUAACAUAAGGUUUUUGAAGUUGUACCCCUGAAGAUUGUUGAUACAGAAGUCCCAAAGUACACUGUUCGUCUUGGUAAAUUCCAAAUCCAUGCCCUUGGCACAUCAAUCGGGUUCAGGCUUGAUGCAUGAUCUGCAAACAUCUGCAUAGUGCACAUAUAUAUGUAUUUGAAGAUAGUCCUAAAAAGAAGUAGUUUAGAAUUUACAGAUUUGCAUUAUUGUAUAUAAUAUAUACCUCAUUAACUUGGAAAUAUGUUCCAUUGAGUGGAAAGCUCCCUCUCAUUGCUGUUCUACAUGGUAUCUGUUUUGAAACUAGUUAAUAACUACUUGAUCUAACUUGUUUUACUUCAUGGUUACAAUAUUUAUCGUGUAUUAGUAUUAUAUAGUUAAAACUACUCACUAGAAUAGUUCCUCUAACCACUUGUGAAUUAGCUUCCUUUAUGCUAUUGCAUGAAAAACAAGUUGUCUUCUCACACAACCUCCCUGAUUCUUGGGCAGAACAUUCUCUUUCUGGUGGCUGUAUUGAGUUUGCAGUUUCACCAGGUGUCCAUAUUGCUAGGAGGUAGGGGCUCGGGUCAUCAGGUUCCCUUUUUUCCAACUGAAAAUAGUACAAAAUAGUGGAAGUUAGUUUAUAAGGUAUUAGCUAUGUGUCAAUUGACUAGUCAACAACAAAGUCACUAACCCCUUCCAAAAGGCGAUGUGAAUCUGGAAGUUCAUACCUGUAUGAUAUAGACUUACAAGCUGUCAUUAUUUUAACAAGGUAAUUUUUUUUUGAUAAUUUUAGGAGUUAUUUAUAAAGACUUACACUUGAUGCUCUGUUCUUAGGCGACUAACAUCUUUCAGUUUAGGUGUAGGGAUGUAAGCAGCAUUAGGGCUCAAUGCAACUAAUGCUUUUGACAUAUCAUCUUGAAGUAGUUUCUUGUCUUGCAUUAUGCUUUGUAAAUUGGUUGUGAAUUCUUCCAUGUUGAGUUUGAUAGUUGGGAUUUCAUCCGAAUCUUCAUAGUAUUGUUCCUCAAUGUCACUUAGUGUUAGUUCCGUGGCUUCUGGCUCAGGUGUUGUUGGUUCUUCAAUAAUUGGUUCACAUUUCUUCUCAAAAUCACCUUCACUUUUAUUCUCAGCUUCAGGCAGUGGCAUAGGCGUAAUAACCACAUGUGGUACUGGAUCUGUUGGAAUAGGAGCAUUUGAAGCCACUAUCUUUUUUCCCUCUGGACCUGGUAGUGCAAGCCUUGCACUGCACCAUUAUAGAUGAAUGCUUCAUUUUUUAAACCAUUAAAAAAAGAAAAAAUAUAUAUAUACAUGUGGAUAAUAGAUUCAUGUACCUUGCAAAAGCACUGGCAAAGUGUCUACAUUCAGCUCUCAUUGGACAUGCAUUGCAGUUUGGUUUACUUUUUGUGCAAAAAACCUUUCCAAAUGUAAUCAUCUGGUAGUGUAGCUCAUAUCUAUCAAAGAAGCACAUAUUAGUGAUUAUCUUUUUUAUAUUUUAUGAUGUCUGUAUAGUUACAAACUUACAAUGUUAAUUGAUCCAGCUUGCACAGUCUAGGCCAAAGAUAUUUCUGAAUGGAAUCCAACACUGGAUACAUCUCAAGAAGAUGCAGUUGUAGGGACUCUGGUAGUGGUUGCAGAGGAACCCACCCCAGUCUCACUGCUAUCCUCCCAACAUUUGUGUCCACCUGGCAAACAUGAUAUCAUGAAUAUACAAGAGGAAGGCAAGAUGAUGAAGUGUCAAUAGGCGAACACACUCCACACUUUUCAGCCCCAAUCCUCGAAAACUCAGUGGUGCAUCUCUCAACCAUUCUAGAUCAAUCUUUCCAUGAUCUCUCACCAGGCGAUUGAGAAAGUUCUGCAUCCUUUCAGCUAACAGGUUGUUCAUUCCACGUUCUUUAAUAGCAUCAGAAAUUUCAUUCACAGGUGCAUGUCUGAAUGCUUCAUAAUCAAGGGAAUCACUUGCAUCUGUACUUUGAUCUUUCUUUUCACCAUUGGACAUCGCCUGCUUUCUCAAGCUGUCCCAGUUCAUUGCUAUGUUCCUUUCAUCAUCAGCUAUCCGUUUUUUUUCCUUGGACGUAUUUGCCCCUGCCCCACUUGUUGAUUC